UAAAAGAUAUUUAAAUUUGCUUUUUGGCAAAAACCCAAACGGAAAGUUCAGCAAUGAAAUUAGAAUUCAAAGGUUGUUGUUGAAUGGCCAACGGGGAAAAAACCAGAAAGACUGGAGGGAGAAACCCCAAUUGGAAGGGUUUUGCCUAAUUUCCACUCCCUCCACGAUGAAAGCCAUUGUUUUACGUACAUCCGGGCUUUGGGAAAAGCCAUUGUUUCAUCCGAGGGUUCUUCUAAAUUGCAGCUCAGGAACUAUAAGGAUUCAACUUGUUUGUAGGGAAGUUAUACUUUUCAAGUAUAAGGCUGAUAGUGAUGUAAUCUGGUGUACGGGUUUGAUACAUUAAUAUCAGAUUUAUAUCUUGUUCAAGAGUUUUAAAAUUAUUGUUUUGUCUUGGAAAGAUAUGUCAAAAAGUGAAAAGAAAUCCUGGGACAAGCUUGAGAAAUUGGAAGCAGUACAUGCUCUAAUUUCCCAACAUAUAUCAGCAGCUUCGCCAAUUUCAAGAUUUUCAAUAUUAUCUUAUCUGUCAGCACUUUCGGAAUUCCUCGUUGAUUCUGCAUGGGUAGGCUAUGGAAAUCCAAGUGGCCUGUAUCAUGGUUUGUUUCCUCAAGACUUUCAACAUCUUCUGCAAACAAUACCGGCGAAAUUGAUUUAGUAUUAGGAACUGAAUCAGCCUCCUUUCAAUCAAAACCUUCAUAUGUGUAUCCGGAAGGGAAAAAGGUUUUCAAAGAAAAGGCAUUCUUUUCAACUGUAACUCCACUUGGAAGAUGGAUAAAACUGGGUACAGGGUUUUUACUUCUUUUACUAUUUUUAUGUAUUGUUAAUUUAAGAUCUGGAUGGAAAAGAAACUUUCCGACUCCAGAAUUGUCACACUUCUCAGUAAGUUUUGACUGUGGAAGCACUGGCACUCGAAUUCAUGUGUAUGAGUGGUCACAUAAGGGGAAGGAUCAAGGAAAUCUUCCAAUGCUGGUACAUUCAAGAUCUGGAGAACCUGCUGAGAAUUCUGGCCAGCUAAAUGGAUUUCCUAUGAUGCAUAUUGUUCAGUAAUUACUGUCAGAACAUUAAUACAUGCAGACUUAAAAAUACCUCAUUCUGUAAUUUCAAGUUAUGCUUGAAAGUCUUAUAAAUAGUUUUGACUUCCAUUAUGCUCAGUGCUUGAUGUUUACCUCUCCCUGUAACUUUAUACUGAUUAUAUCAUCUCAUUUAAGCCUAUAUCUGAAUUCAGUUCUCUUCCUUUAUAGUUUUGACUUCCAUUAUGCUCAAUGAUUGAUGUUUAUCUCUCCCAGUAACUUUAUACUGAUUAUAUCAUCUCAUUUAAG